rnacentral:rRNA from 1 species
AUUGAACGCUGGCGGCAGGCCUAACACAUGCAAGUCGAACGGUAACAGGAAGAAGCUUGCUUCUUUGCUGACGAGUGGCGGACGGGUGAGUAAUGUCUGGGAAACUGCCUGAUGGAGGGGGAUAACUACUGGAAACGGUAGCUAAUACCGCAUAACGUCGCAAGACCAAAGAGGGGGACCUUCGGGCCUCUUGCCAUCGGCUGUGCCCAGAUGGGAUUAGCUAGUAGGUGGGGUAACGGCUCACCUAGGCGACGAUCCCUAGCUGGUCUGAGAGGAUGACCAGCCACACUGGAACUGAGACACGGUCCAGACUCCUACGGGAGGCAGCAGUGGGGAAUAUUGCACAAUGGGCGAAAGCCUGAUGCAGCCAUGCCGCGUGUAUGAAGAAGGCCUUCGGGUUGUAAAGUACUUUCAGCGGGGAGGAAGGGAGUAAAGUUAAUACCUUUGCUCAUUGACGUUACCCGCAGAAGAAGCACCGGCUAACUCCGUG